GCGGGGCGGAGCGAGCCCCGCUUCCCGCGCCUUUCGUGGUCUCGCACUGCCCCCUGACGGCCAGCGCUGAGGGCCAACCCGUCGUCAGGGAAUUGCAGGAAUUGCGAGGCGUCAUUCCUGAAAAACCUGAGGCACGUAUAUAAUCCUGCAUCACCUGAGCUUUUCCCACUACAUUGGCUGGAUAUGUCAAAGAAAAAGCUUGAAAGUCCUGAAAACCAGGGAGACACAACAUCACGCCUGAAAUCUUAGUAAUCAUCGAUUGAUCAUCUGAAAUGGUUUCCCAAGUCACCUGGUGUUACAACUGAAGUUAACGUGGUCCCCGGCUGCUCUGUGCUUGUCUCAAACUCCAGAGGGCAGUAAAUCCCCGCGUAAGGAAAAUGAAAAAGUCUGCUCCUAGAAGAAUUCUCGUUCCCUUUUCGUACAAUCCCACUUCCUAACCAUUCCCUAUCAGAAGCCACUGUAAGGCAUUCCCAGAGUAAAUUACAAUAAAUCAAAUGCAUAGUUACCGUGA